GGACGAACGCUGGCGGCGUGCCUAAUACAUGCAAGUCGAACGGCUUUUCUAUGGAAGCUUGCUUCCACUGAGAAGAUAGUGGCGAACGGGUGAGUAACACGUGGGUAACCUGCCCAUAAGAGGGGGGAUAACAUCCGGAAACGGGUGCUAAUACCGCAUAGUUUUCUUGAUCGCAUGAUCGGGAAAGGAAAGACGGCCUUUGUGCUGUCGCUUAUGGAUGGACCCGCGGCGUAUUAGUUAGUUGGUGAGGUAACGGCUCACCAAGACGAUGAUACGUAGCCGACCUGAGAGGGUGAUCGGCCACAUUGGGACUGAGACACGGCCCAAACUCCUACGGGAGGCAGCAGUAGGGAAUCUUCCGCAAUGGACGAAAGUCUGACGGAGCAACGCCGCGUGAGUGAAGAAAAGGGUUUUCGGAUCGUAAAACUCUGUUGUCAGAGAAGAACAAGUUGGAGAGUAACUGCUCCAGCCUUGACGGUAUCUGACCAGAAAGCCACGGCUAACUACGUGCCAGCCGCAGC
rnacentral:rRNA from 1 species